rnacentral:rRNA from 1 species
UGGGGGAUUUUGCACAAUGGGCGCAAGCCUGAUGCAGCGACGCCGCGUGAGGGAUGAAGGCCUUCGGGUUGUAAACCUCUUUCGCUGGGUUGAAAGGCCAUGCUUUGGGUGUGGUUGAUUUGAACUGGUAAAGAAGUACCGGCUAACUACGUGCCAGCAGCCGCGGUAAUACGUAGGGUACUAGCGUUGUCCGGAUUUAUUGGGCGUAAAGGGCUUGUAGGUGGUUUGUCGCGUCUGUCGUGAAAUCCUGUGGCUUAACCAUGGGCUUGCGGUGGGUACGGGCAGGCUUGAGUGCGGUAGGGGGGACUGGAAUACCUGGUGUAGCGGUGGAAUGCGCAGAUAUCAGGAGGAACACCGGUGGCGAAGGGGGGUCUCUGGGCCGUUACUGACACUGAGGGGCGAAAGCGUGGGGAGCGAACAGG